rnacentral:lncRNA from 1 species
CCCACCCCUCCCUGCUCGCUGCAGGGGUCUGGAAGGAGGUAUCUUGCCUGCACCUGCCUGGCCCCUUCCAAAGCCUGACCCAGCGUGGUCUUCUUCCUUUUUCCUCCAGCUUAUCUUUCAUACCUGUGCCCAGCUGUCUCCUGUUCCCUCGUCACUUUCCUUGCCCCUGUUUCCCACUCCAGCUCCCUCGGCUGGCUUCCCCCACCCUCCUGGGUCUGUGCAUCGGGGUCAGCAUCCCUCUGUCUGCUCAGUAACCACCCUUCUCCUCCAGCUCUGCUCUGCCCCCUUCUUCGAGGGUCCCCAUCGCCACUGUCUCCCAGUCCUUGGCCCUCCUCAUUUCUACCUGUCCCCAAUGCCCACCUUUGAGCCACCAACCAAGGCUCCAUUUUGGCUCCCGUCCUUUCUGUACCCGCCAUCAUUCCUCUGAUCCCUAUCUCAUCUGCAUCCAUGCCUCUGUCCAAUGUCUGUCCCCAUGUCUUCAUCCCUGUCCUCAUGUCUAUCCUGGUGCCAACCUCUGCUCUGCCCCUAUGCUUGCCAGGUCUCCAACCCUAGCUCUACUCCACCUCUGUCCCAGGGCUCUGCCCAGCCUGUCCUGUCCACCCACCUCUGUCCUCACCCCCCAUCUCUGUCCCUGGUUCCCAGCCAAACUUCACCCCGCCCUGACUGCAGUGUCCUCACCUCUUUCUAAGUGCAGGGGCUCAGAAUGCUAUUUUCUUCCUAGCCGCACCCAGGCCUGGAUUGUUCCUCCCCACCCCAGGGUGCUGUCCCCUCCUCUGGCCAAAUCUUGAGCACUCUGCCUGACCUACACGGCAGGAAGGAGCCACCAACCAGUCCAGAAGCCCAAGGGAGGUGCACCCUGCAAUGCGGCUGGGGGGCCGACAGGCUGAUCCUCCUCCCUGAAUCCCAGCAGUCCUGUCCCAUCCCGAGUCCCCCCCACCAAGUGGAGUUUAUUCAGCAGCCAGAGAUGGCCUCAACUCCCCUCAGUCUCCAGUCUCCAGUGCCGAGUGGGAGAGUGCAAGUGCCCAAAGCCGAGGGAUUUGCCAGGAUCACAGCAGCAGAGACAGCAAUUUGUCUGAGAUCAGAGGUGGGGGCACAUCCUGGCACCCCUCUUCACCCUGCCAAAUCUCAUCUCCUCCCCCCAGUGCCUGUCUUUGAGGAGUCACUGGACCUAACCAGCCCUUCCCAGGUCCUAGGCUGGGUGCAGAACAUAGGAGUGCUGCGAUUUACUGGGAAGAGGUGGCUUGGAGGCAGUUGGGGUCAGAGCAUUAGGUAGAUUGAGGAGGGGCUUGGAUGGAUGGAUUCUCCUACAAAGAACAGAAAGGUGAGAUGAGGGAUCAGAGUUCAACAACCUAUUCUUCAGAGCUCUGUGGAAACCUCACCCUCUUCCAUUGCCUCUCCUGGACUCAAGCCCACCUUUUCCCUGGGAAGCCUCUUCUCCCUCUGUAUCGCCUUCCCCCUCCCUUCGCAAGCCCACCCUUCCAGGUGUUAGAUGCCAGCUCAAGCUUGUCUGCCUGAGUCAAUCACUGUUGCUGCCCCCAC